AGCUCAGAGGUUAAAGCAUCUGCCUGCAAUGCAGGAGACCUGGGUUCGAUCCCUG
rfam:Ovis aries breed Texel chromosome 1, whole genome shotgun sequence.